AGUUGUGGCUCAGUGGUAGAGUGCUUGCCUGGCAUGUGUGAGGCCCUGGGUUCGAUACUCAGAACUG
rnacentral:tRNA from 1 species